AACGAACGCUGGCGGCAUGCCUAACACAUGCAAGUCGAACGAGACCUUCGGGUCUAGUGGCGCACGGGUGCGUAACGCGUGGGAACCUGCCCUUAGGUUCGGAAUAACUCCCCGAAAGGGGUGCUAAUACCGGAUAAUGUCUUCGGACCAAAGAUUUAUCGCCUUUGGAUGGGCCCGCGUUGGAUUAGCUAGUUGGUAGGGUAACAGCCUACCAAGGCGACGAUCCAUAGCUGGUCUGAGAGGAUGAUCAGCCACACUGGGACUGAGACACGGCCCAGACUCCUACGGGAGGCAGCAGUGGGGAAUAUUGGACAAUGGGCGAAAGCCUGAUGCAGCAAUGCCGCGUGAGUGAUGAAGGCCUUAGGGUUGUAAAGCUCUUUUACCCGGGAUGAUAAUGACAGUACCGGGAGAAUAAGCCCCGGCUAACUCCGUG
rnacentral:rRNA from 1 species